GGCGGACGGGUGCGUAACACGUUGGGUUGAUCUGCCCUAAAGUGGGGAAUAAUCCCGCCAACGCGGGACUAAUACCGCAUGUGGUCAGCCAUUCAGUUGGUUGACCAAAGUCGCAAGACGCUUUAGGAUGAGCCUGCGGCGGAUUAGCUAGUUGGUAAGGUAAUGGCUUACCAAGGCGAUGAUCCGUAGGGGGCGUGAGAGCAUGACCCCCCACACUGGCACUGAGAUACGGGCCAGACUCCUACGGGAGGCAGCAGUGAGGAAUAUUGCCCAAUGGGCGAAAGCUUGAGGCAGCAACGCCGCGUGAGGGACGAAGGCCUUCGGGUCGUAAACCUCUUUUCUGAGGGACGAGAUCAGGACGGUACCUCGGGAAUAAGUCUCGGCUAACUACGUGCCAGCAGCCGCGGUAAAACGUAGGAGGCGAGCGUUAUCCGGAUUUACUGGGCGUAAAGCGCACGCAGGUGGCUUC
rnacentral:rRNA from 1 species